rnacentral:rRNA from 1 species
AACGAACGCUGGCGGCAUGCCUAACACAUGCAAGUCGAACGAGACCUUCGGGUCUAGUGGCGCACGGGUGCGUAACGCGUGGGAACCUGCCUUUAGGUUCGGAAUCACUCAGAGAAAUUUGAGCUAAUACCGGUUGUUGUCUUCGGACCAAAGCUUUAUCGCCUUUAGAUGGGCCCGCGUUGGAUUAGCUAGUUGGUGGGGUAAAGGCCUACCAAGGCGACGAUCCAUAGCUGGGCUGAGAGGAUGAUCAGCCACACUGGGACUGAGACACGGCCCAGACUCGUACGGGAGGCAGCAGUGGGGAGUAUUGGACGAUGGGCGAAAGCCUGAUCCAGCAGUGCCGCGUGAGUGAUGAAGGCCGUAGGGUUGUAAAGCUCUUUUACCCGAGAUGAUAAUGACGGUAUCGGGAGAAUAAGCGCCGGCUAACUCCGUG